rnacentral:lncRNA from 1 species
AACCCGCUCCGAUACCGACUGUUGUUGAUCCGGUAUCGAUUGUUGGGAUUCCGCAAGCAAAUCGAAUUUUUACCAUAAACCCGUCUCCUCGGCAAAAGCUGAUACAAUCAUAAAAGAGAGAAAAAACAAAACAGAAACUAUGCGAAUAAAAUAAGAUUCAUUAAAUAAGAGAAAAUUACAAAUGACUUCUCUUCUGCAUAGAGUAGUUAUAACCCGAACCCUCUUUUUGAAUCUCUUAUACCCUUCUCUCAUCUUCUAUAAAUCCACAAGAAGACAAAUCUUCUUGUGGACCUGUAACAUAUUGAAACCUCGAGAACGAUUAUCGAACUUUAGCCAC